rnacentral:rRNA from 1 species
GGCAGACGGGUGAGUAACGCGUGGAAACGUGCCUUUCACUACGGAAUAGCUUUUGGAAACGAAAGGUAAUACCGUAUACGCCCUCCGGGGGAAAGAUUUAUCGGUGAAAGAUCGGUCCGCGUUAGAUUAGCUAGUUGGUGAGGUAAGAGCUCACCAAGGCGACGAUCUAUAGCUGGUCUGAGAGGAUGAUCAGCCACACUGGGACUGAGACACGGCCCAGACUCCUACGGGAGGCAGCAGCGGGGAAUUUUCCGCAAUGGGCG